UCGACUGUUUAUCAAAAACAUAUUUAAUAGAUAUAAUUAUUAAUAUAACCUGCUCAAUGUCAAAUAAAUAGCCGCAGAUAAAUCUGUGCUAAGGUAGCAUAAUCAUUUGUCUUUUAAUUAAAGACUAGAAUGAAAGGUAUAACAUUUAAAUUAUUAUAUCAACCUUCUUAUUUAAAUUUUUUUCAAAUGUAAAAAAACAUUUAUUUUAAAGAAAGACGAUAAGACCCUAUUGAACUUAACUUCAGUUAAACUGGGGCAGUUAAAUAAUUAAAAUUUAAUUUUAAACCAAUAAAUCAAACGACCUAAUACAAUUAAUUAUUUAAUCAAGUUACCAUAGGGAUAACAGCGCAAUAUUAUUCUAUAGAUCUUAUAUAAAAUAAAGAUUACGACCUCGAUGUUGAAUUAAUUAAUCUAAUGAAGAGUAAAAGCUAAUUAAGAAAGUCUGUUCGACUUUUAAUAAAUUACAUGAUUUGAGUUCAGACCGGUGUAAACCAGGUCGGUUUCUAUCUU
rnacentral:rRNA from 1 species